AGAGUUUGAUCCUGGCUCAGGAUGAACGCUGGCGGCGUGCCUAACACAUGCAAGUCGAGCGAUCUUCUUCGGAAGAGAGCGGCGGACGGGUGAGUAACGCGUGGGUAACCUGCCUCAUACACAUGGAUAACAUACCGAAAGGUAUGCUAAUACAAGAUGAUAUAAGAGAUUCGCAUGGAUUUCUUAUCAAAGCUCCGGCGGUAUGAGAUGGACCCGCGUCUGAUUAGCUAGUUGGUAAGGUAACGGCUUACCAAGGCGACGAUCAGUAGCCGACCUGAGAGGGUGAUCGGCCACAUUGGAACUGAGACACGGUCCAAACUCCUACGGGAGGCAGCAGUGGGGAAUAUUGCACAAUGGGCGAAAGCCUGAUGCAGCAACGCCGCGUGAGCGAUGAAGGCCUUCGGGUCGUAAAGCUCUGUCCUCAAGGAAGAUAAUGACGGUACUUGAGGAGGAAGCCCCGGCUAACUACGUGCCAGCAGCCGCGGUAAUACGUAGGGGGCUAGCGUUAUCCGGAUUUACUGGGCGUAAAGGGUGCGUAGGUGGUUUCUUAAGUCAGGAGUGAAAGGCUACGGCUCAACCGUAGUAAGCUCUUGAAACUGGGAAACUUGAGUGCAGGAGAGGAAAGUGGAAUUCCUAGUGUAGCGGUGAAAUGCGUAGAUAUUAGGAGGAACACCAGUAGCGAAGGCGGCUUUCUGGACUGUAACUGACACUGAGGCACGAAAGCGUGGGGAGCAAACAGGAUUAGAUACCCUGGUAGUCUACGCCGUAAACGAUGAGUACUAGGUGUCGGGGGUUACCCCCCUCGGUGCCGCAGCUAACGCAUUAAGUACUCCGCCUGGGGAGUACGCUCGCAAGAGUGAAACUCAAAUGAAUUGACGG
rnacentral:rRNA from 1 species